GAUUAAGUUAUUAAGGGCGCACGGUGGAUGCCUUGGCACUAGAAGCCGAUGAAGGACGUUACUAACGACGAUAUGCUUUGGGGAGCUGUAAGUAAGCUUUGAUCCAGAGAUUUCCGAAUGGGGAAACCCAGCAUGAGUUAUGUCAUGUUAUCGAUAUGUGAAUACAUAGCAUAUCAGAAGGCACACCCGGAGAACUGAAACAUCUUAGUACCCGGAGGAAGAGAAAGAAAAUUCGAUUCCCUUAGUAGCGGCGAGCGAAACGGGAAGAGCCCAAACCAACAAGCUUGCUUGUUGGGGUUGUAGGACACUCUAUACGGAGUUACAAAGGACGACAUUAGACGAAUCAUCUGGAAAGAUGAAUCAAAGAAGGUGAUAAUCCUGUAGUCGAAAAUGUUGUCUCUCUUGAGUGGAUCCUGAGUACGACGGAGCACGUGAAAUUCCGUCGGAAUCUGGGAGGACCAUCUCCUAAGGCUAAAUACUCUCUAGUGACCGAUAGUGAACCAGUACCGUGAGGGAAAGGUGAAAAGCACCCCGGAAGGGGAGUGAAAUAGAACCUGAAACCGUGUGCUUACAAGUAGUCAGAGCCCGUUAAUGGGUGAUGGCGUGCCUUUUGUAGAAUGAACCGGCGAGUUACGAUUUGAUGCAAGGUUAAGCAGUAAAUGUGGAGCCGUAGCGAAAGCGAGUCUGAAUAGGGCGUUUAGUAUUUGGUCGUAGACCCGAAACCAGGUGAUCUACCCUUGGUCAGGUUGAAGUUCAGGUAACACUGAAUGGAGGACCGAACCGACUUACGUUGAAAAGUGAGCGGAUGAACUGAGGGUAGCGGAGAAAUUCCAAUCGAACCUGGAGAUAGCUGGUUCUCUCCGAAAUAGCUUUAGGGCUAGCCUCAAGUGAUGAUUAUUGGAGGUAGAGCACUGUUUGGACGAGGGGCCCCUCUCGGGUUACCGAAUUCAGACAAACUCCGAAUGCCAAUUAAUUUAACUUGGGAGUCAGAACAUGGGUGAUAAGGUCCGUGUUCGAAAGGGAAACAGCCCAGACCACCAGCUAAGGUCCCAAAAUAUAUGUUAAGUGGAAAAGGAUGUGGCGUUGCCCAGACAACUAGGAUGUUGGCUUAGAAGCAGCCAUCAUUUAAAGAGUGCGUAAUAGCUCACUAGUCGAGUGACACUGCGCCGAAAAUGUACCGGGGCUAAACAUAUUACCGAAGCUGUGGAUUGUCCUUUGGACAAUGGUAGGAGAGCGUUCUAAGGGCGUUGAAGCAUGAUCGUAAGGACAUGUGGAGCGCUUAGAAGUGAGAAUGCCGGUGUGAGUAGCGAAAGACGGGUGAGAAUCCCGUCCACCGAUUGACUAAGGUUUCCAGAGGAAGGCUCGUCCGCUCUGGGUUAGUCGGGUCCUAAGCUGAGGCCGACAGGCGUAGGCGAUGGAUAACAGGUUGAUAUUCCUGUACCACCUAUAAUCGUUUUAAUCGAUGGGGGGACGCAGUAGGAUAGGCGAAGCGUGCGAUUGGAUUGCACGUCUAAGCAGUAAGGCUGAGUAUUAGGCAAAUCCGGUACUCGUUAAGGCUGAGCUGUGAUGGGGAGAAGACAUUGUGUCUUCGAGUCGUUGAUUUCACACUGCCGAGAAAAGCCUCUAGAUAGAAAAUAGGUGCCCGUACCGCAAACCGACACAGGUAGUCAAGAUGAGAAUUCUAAGGUGAGCGAGCGAACUCUCGUUAAGGAACUCGGCAAAAUGACCCCGUAACUUCGGGAGAAGGGGUGCUCUUUAGGGUUAACGCCCAGAAGAGCCGCAGUGAAUAGGCCCAAGCGACUGUUUAUCAAAAACACAGGUCUCUGCUAAACCGUAAGGUGAUGUAUAGGGGCUGACGCCUGCCCGGUGCUGGAAGGUUAAGAGGAGUGGUUAGCUUCUGCGAAGCUACGAAUCGAAGCCCCAGUAAACGGCGGCCGUAACUAUAACGGUCCUAAGGUAGCGAAAUUCCUUGUCGGGUAAGUUCCGACCCGCACGAAAGGCGUAACGAUUUGGGCACUGUCUCAACGAGAGACUCGGUGAAAUCAUAGUACCUGUGAAGAUGCAGGUUACCCGCGACAGGACGGAAAGACCCCGUGGAGCUUUACUGUAGCCUGAUAUUGAAAUUCGGCACAGCUUGUACAGGAUAGGUAGGAGCCUUUGAAACGUGAGCGCUAGCUUACGUGGAGGCGCUGGUGGGAUACUACCCUAGCUGUGUUGGCUUUCUAACCCGCACCACUUAUCGUGGUGGGAGACAGUGUCAGGCGGGCAGUUUGACUGGGGCGGUCGCCUCCUAAAAGGUAACGGAGGCGCUCAAAGGUUCCCUCAGAAUGGUUGGAAAUCAUUCAUAGAGUGUAAAGGCAUAAGGGAGCUUGACUGCGAGACCUACAAGUCGAGCAGGGUCGAAAGACGGACUUAGUGAUCCGGUGGUUCCGCAUGGAAGGGCCAUCGCUCAACGGAUAAAAGCUACCCCGGGGAUAACAGGCUUAUCUCCCCCAAGAGUUCACAUCGACGGGGAGGUUUGGCACCUCGAUGUCGGCUCAUCGCAUCCUGGGGCUGUAGUCGGUCCCAAGGGUUGGGCUGUUCGCCCAUUAAAGCGGUACGCGAGCUGGGUUCAGAACGUCGUGAGACAGUUCGGUCCCUAUCCGUCGUGGGCGUAGGAAAUUUGAGAGGAGCUGUCCUUAGUACGAGAGGACCGGGAUGGACAUACCUCUGGUGUACCAGUUGUCGUGCCAACGGCAUAGCUGGGUAGCUAUGUGUGGACGGGAUAAGUGCUGAAAGCAUCUAAGCAUGAAGCCCCCCUCAAGAUGAGAUUUCCCAACUUCGGUUAUAAGAUC
rnacentral:rRNA from 1 species